rnacentral:tRNA from 1 species
ACCUGGCUGGCUCAGUCGGAAGAGCGUGUGUGAAUCUUAAUCUUGGGGUUGUGAGUUCAAACCCCACGUUGGGUG